GAUGAAGAACGCAGCGAAAUGCGAUAAGUAAUGCGAAUUGCAGAAUUUCCGUGAGUCAUCGAAUCUUUGAACGCACAUUGCGCCCGUCAGUAUUCUGGCGGGCAUGCCUGUUCGAGCGUCAUUACGCCCCUCAAGUCCCCUGUGGACUUGGUGUUGGGGAUCGGCGAGGCUGGUUUUCCAGCACAGCCGUCCCUUAAAUUAAUUGGCGGUCUCGCCGUGGCCCUCCUCUGCGCAGUAGUAAAACACUCGCAACAGGAGCCCGGCGCGGUCCACUGCCGUAAAACCCCCCAACUUUUUAUAGUUGACCUCGAAUCAGGUAGGACUACCCGCUGAACUUAAGCAUAUCAAUAAGCGGAGGA
rnacentral:misc_RNA from 1 species